AGCAGCCGCGGUAAUUCCAGCUCCAAUAGCGUAUAUUAAAGUUGUUGCAGUUAAAAAGCUCGUAGUUGAAUUUCGGGAUCAAUAUGUCGGUCGUGCCUUCGGUACGUACUGGUAUCAUUGGUCUCUCCUUUCUGACGAACCAUGAUGUCAUUAAUUUGGUGUUAUGGGGAGUUAGGACUGUUACUUUGAAAAAUUAGAGUGUUUAAAGCAGGCUUUAGCUUGAAUACAUUAGCAUGGAAUAAUGAAAUAGGACGUUCGAACCUAUUUUGUUGGUUUCUAGGAUCAACGUAAUGAUUAAUAGGGAUAGUUGGGGGCAUUAGUAUUCAAUUGUCAGAGGUGAAAUUCUUGGAUUUAUUGAAGACUAACUACUGCGAAAGCAUUUGCCAAGGAUGUUUUCAUUAAUCAAGAACGAAAGUUAGGGGAUCGAAGACGAUCAGAUACCGUCGUAGUCUUAACCAUAAACUAUGCCGACUAGGGAUCGGAUGAUGUUAAUUUUUAAUGACUCAUUCG
rnacentral:rRNA from 1 species